GCCAUCUUGUUAUGUCUAUAGUAACAAGGUACAUGUGUCUGGUCUCACUCUGGCUUCCUGCACUACACGGGCUGCAGCGCGCUCACAAAGACAGUGACACUCGCAGCUGCGGCUGUGCAAGCAGCGCUGUCUGGCGUUAGCAGUGACCCCAGGCUGCAGGAAGUAGCUGUUUUUGCCAGGACACAGCGUGUCAGUAAAUGGUGCAAACUGCCACACACACAGACAAGAAGCUGCAAUGCACAAACCAGCAGAAACCAAACAGGAGGCACAGAGAAUAAAGACACAUUAUGCCAGGACGUGCAAUAGCUCCAGUAUGGCCAUUGUUGAUGGCAAGAUGCUCUCAGGCUUCAUCCCUUCAGAUCAUCCUGGUAGAAGGUCUCUCAGAAGAAUAUCAGUUUAUCUUUCUCAGCUGAGCAAGAACUUCCUGUGUCCAACAUCAAACCAGCUUCAGUGCUGAUCUACAGUUACUAUAAAAGAGCUGUAGGGACAGAAACAAACUCUGCAUCUUUCCACCGAGGAGGCAAGAGGUCAGCAUACUUGUAUCAUGAAUGGAAAAUCACAGCCUAGGUUGGCUGUAAUACACUGGAAGGAUUUGGAGCAAACACGUCUUGCUGAGUGCAGCACAGCCUGUGGUCAGACAUCUCACCCGGAAAGCAGCUGCAAGUCUGCAGCGAUUAGAGCAACAUGACAAACGUGGAAUGUGAACUGAGAAAAGAAGCCAGACAGCUUAUUUCCCUCUAACUAUAGACUGUUAGUAAAUGUUACACUUACAAUCUGACUGACUGCACGCUGUGACUGUGUAGUAGGUAACUUGGCUAGAUUCAAACCUAGUGUGUAUAUCCCCUCCAUGAACUCCCUCCAGAUCUAGGCUUGAAAUUAGAAGAAGGUUUCUAACCGUCAGAGGGGUGAAAUUUUGGAACAGCCUUCCGAGGGAAACGGUGGGGGCGAAAGACCUUUCUGGCUUCAAGAUUAGGCUUGAUAAAUUUAUGGAGGGAAUGGUUUGAAGGGAUAACGUGAUUUUAGUCAAUUAGGCAUUAACGUGCCAUCGCGGGUAAAAUGAGGGUCC